UGCCAGAUCGUCUAAUGGUAGGACAGCGGACUCUGAAUCCGUCAAUCUUGGUUCGAAUCCANNAAGCCA
rnacentral:tRNA from 1 species